rnacentral:lncRNA from 1 species
AACGGGUUAAUUGUGAAAAGGCUAAAUGUUUGUGGACCUAUUGAACUAUUUCUAACACUAUCAGUUCAUAACUUGGGUUUUUGGGAGAAACCAGGUUAGAGUAAGUAAGGUAGCUUACAGUAUGAAAAUACUUGGAAAAUUCCAGACACUUUUGACCUAACCAAAGAUAUAAGGACGUGUCCGUGAACCACAAACUAAAUAUUGUAGAGCGCUCUGUGUCUGCUACAACUCUGUCGACAUGGCAACGAGUAGCCCUUCGAUGUUUGCGUAGGUAUGAUUGGAUAUCCUAUGUAUAGCUAACUAGCAAACUCUGCUAAGCAAAGACAUUCGCAAACUUGUCACCCCCUGCAAAUUCACUGUAAGGAUACGCCGCAAACGUUCCCGAGCCGAUUAACCUUUCUAAAGAAUUGACAGUUUAAUGUCAAGUCAGUUAAUCUUACUUUUGUGCUCGAACUGUCCUGGAACAUCUAGAUAAUGGCCGAAACCCGGGUCCUUCCGAGUGGAGAAGUGUACCGGCAGAUGUUUGAUGCGCAGGUCCAGCUGUCGUUGGCGCUUCAUGAUGGACGAAGCAAACGUGCUGCCAGCGGAGGUUUCCAGCUUAGCUGUGACUGCCAUGGGGGCCAAGAGGCGCACCCUGGAGGGCUGCGGACCAGGGUUCAGACGGAAUGUUCGGUGUGGUCCGAAGACACCACUGCACGGGCACAGCUGUUCUCAGGUGGCCUGGCCGUACAGAAGAAUCAUCAGCUGAUGCAGGAGAUAAGUGGUCUUCCAGAUACAGUUGAGGCAGAGCUCAAAGGAUCUGACAUUAUUGAACGCCUCAAGGAGAAAAAACGAAGAGAUCACACAGAGGCUGUUGUUCAGUUGCAUCGAGAUCUCGCUGUGAUAAGCACGAAAUAUGAAUCGUGCCUCAGGCAACAAGCAGAGAACACCAUGUGUCAACUGGCACAAUAUGAUGCCACCGUUGAGAGUCUCAUGAGAAAGAUCGACAGCGUGUCCGAUUUGGAAAGCUUCAGCAUCCAGGACCAUCUGCAGGUCUGGGAAUUGGUCAGCCAGGAGUCGGCAAACAGAAGGGAGUGCAUCAGGAAACUGGACGAGAACCUUGACAAGUACAUUUCUGAAAGAACAGCUGUGGUAUGGUGAAACCGUAACAAACACACUCCUAUGAGCUCUGUUUUAGUUCUUUCCAUACUACUAUUGUAA